AGCAUAUCAAUAAGCGGAGGAAAAGAAACCAACAGGGAUUGCCCCAGUAACGGCGAGUGAAGCGGCAACAGCUCAAAUUUGAAAUCUGGCCCCCAGGGCCCGAGUUGUAAUUUGCAGAGGAUGCUUUUGGUGAGGCACCUACCGAGUCCCCUGGAAUGGGGCGCCACAGAGGGUGAGAGCCCCGUAUGGUAGGACGCCGAACCUCUGUAAAGCUCCUUCGACGAGUCGAGUAGUUUGGGAAUGCUGCUCUAAAUGGGAGGUAAAUUUCUUCUAAAGCUAAAUACCGGCCAGAGACCGAUAGCGCACAAGUAGAGUGAUCGAAAGAUGAAAAGCACUUUGAAAAGAGGGUUAAAAAGUACGUGAAAUUGUUGAAAGGGAAGCGCUUGUGACCAGACUUGCGCCUGGCGGAUCAUCCAGCGUUCUCGCUGGUGCACUCCGCCAGGCUCAGGCCAGCAUCGGUUCUCGCCGGGGGACAAAGGCUUCGGGAACGUGGCUCCUUUCGGGGAGUGUUAUAGCCCGUUGCGUAAUACCCCGGCGGGGACCGACGACCGCGCUUCGGCAAGGAUGCUGGCGUAAUGGUCAUCAGCGACCCGUCUUGAAACACGGACCGAGGAGUCAAGCAUUAGUGCGAGUGUUUGGGUGUAAAACCCGCACGCGUAAUGAAAGUGAACGUAGGUGAGAGCUUCGGCGCAUCAUCGACCGAUCCUGAUGUUUUCGGAAGGAUUUGAGUAGGAGCAUUAACGCUUGGACCCGAAAGAUGGUGAACUAUACUUGAAUAGGGUGAAGCCAGAGGAAACUCUGGUGGAGGCUCGCAGCGGUUCUGACGUGCAAAUCGAUCGUCAAAUUUGAGUAUAGGGGCGAAAGACUAAUCGAACCAUCUAGUAGCUGGUUUCAGCCGA
rnacentral:rRNA from 1 species